AUGCUGGGGUCUCCAUACAUCCAGACAGCCCUGGUAGACCUUCUCUGCUCCCCUUCUGCACACCAACAAAACCAAGCCUUGAGCAGAAAGGAAUGGCUGUCUUGUGUCUCCUUGUUGGAGGCCAGUGAUGAUGGGAAGAGCUGGCAGCCUGUGCAGGCUGACAUGAGAAAUAGUUUGCUGAGCCCUGCCGUUGAGAUAAGGACAAAGGGCCAGGACCAGCUCUGGGGGAAGCGUGAGUUGCUUGCACAAGGGCCCGCAGCGCAGCGAGAGAUGGAACAGCAGAGGGAUCAAGGCAGAAUACGGUGCUUUGUUGUGUGUGUUUGGCUAGCCAUGGUUAUGCCUGGUCAAAGGAAGGUGGAGACACAACUCGUCCCUCAUGAAAUGUUUUCAGAGUAUGCAGAAGCUCCCUCAUGCUGUGCCACUCUCAACUUCAUGCUAAAUAUUAGAAGCAAGAUGGUUCAGACAGUACAGUGGGACAGAAUUGUAAUGGAGGGUGAUCUUCAUGUCUCCAGAAUCAGCACCAAUAAACCAGUGAUUCUCAUUAGAUGUUGUGUUAGUUUCUACUUUUAUUGCUGUGGCAAUGUAGCAAUGUUUCUCUAUAAAUUUGAAGAAACAUAACUGUGUUCAAAACUC
rnacentral:lncRNA from 1 species